UACAGAGGGUGCGAGCGUUAAUCGGAAUUACUGGGCGUAAAGCGCACGUAGGCGGCUUGGUAUGUCGGGUGUGAAAUCCCCCGGGCUCAACCUGGGAACUGCAUCCGAAACUGCCUUGCUCGAGUAUGGGAGAGGGAAGUGGAAUUUCCGGUGUAGCGGUGAAAUGCGUAGAUAUCGGAAGGAACAUCAGUGGCGAAGGCGACUUCCUGGACCAAUACUGACGCUCAGGUGCGAAAGCGUGGGGAGCAAACAGGAUA
rnacentral:rRNA from 1 species